rnacentral:rRNA from 1 species
CCUACGGGAGGCUGCAGUGGGGAAUUUUGGACAAUGGGGGCAACCCUGAUCCAGCCAUUCCGCGUGAGUGAAGAAGGCCUUCGGGUUGUAAAGCUCUUUCGGCAGGAACGAAAAGGCUCUCUCUAACAUAGGGGGUCAAUGACGGUACCUGAAGAAGAAGCACCGGCUAACUACGUGCCAGCAGCCGCGGUAAUACGUAGGGUGCGAGCGUUAAUCGGAAUUACUGGGCGUAAAGCGUGCGCAGGCGGCUUUGUAAGACAGAUGUGAAAUCCCCGGGCUUAACCUGGGAACUGCGUUUGUGACUGCAAGGCUUGAGUGCGGCAGAGGGGGGUGGAAUUCCACGUGUAGCAGUGAAAUGCGUAGAGAUGUGGAGGAACACCGAUGGCGAAGGCAGCCCCCUGGGUCGACACUGACGCUCAUGCACGAAAGCGUGGGUAGCAAACAGGAUUAGAUACCCUGGUAGUC